UAGCCUAAUGAUCCCCACUUAGCCAGCCAGGUACGCCUUUGUGGCAUGACUAUAGUAGCUCCUGCUGUGACAGCUUGGCUUAGUUUUGUAUUUCAAUUCGACUCUAACAACUAUUGAUAAAUGUGUUUGGCACACAGAGGAGCUGCAGCACAUCAUAUGUCAAAUUUUUUGGACCUUGAUGGGGUUUCUAUGCUUACCAGAGUGCGUGUGGGCGGGCAAGUAGCACGCAAGAGUCUUGGCCUGAGAGAAAAUCAGACUGUAAAAUAUGAUUAUUAAUUAUUUUUAAAAUCAAGAAAAAUGCCUGAUGACCAACUGAAAGUGCCAAAGCGACUCCUGUUUGCACAUUUUAUUUAUUUAUCAAUCAACAGAUGUGUAAGCUACUACUACUAUUCUAAAUAAUUGUUGUGGUCCUAAACCGGAUUCUGUGCUCUCUAUUUAUGUUAAUGAGGACCAACAUUAUUUCGCUGUUAAAUUCAAAAAUCGGAAACAGCCAGAAAUAAGUCCAAAAAGGAUUCAUCGAUUUCAUUA